UGCAAGUGGCGUCUUGCCAACGGAGGUGU
rnacentral:piRNA from 1 species